rnacentral:rRNA from 1 species
CACGAACGCUGGCGGCAGGCUUAACACAUGCAAGUCGAGCGCCCCGCAAGGGGAGCGGCAGACGGGUGAGUAACGCGUGGGAAUCUACCCAUCUCUACGGAAUAACGCAUGGAAACGUGUGCUAAUACCGUAUACGUCCUUCGGGAGAAAGAUUUAUCGGAGAUGGAUGAGCCCGCGUUGGAUUAGCUAGUUGGUGGGGUAAAGGCCUACCAGGGCGACGAUCCAUAGCUGGUCUGGGAGGAUGAUCAGCCACACUGGGACUGAGACACGGCCCAGACUCCUACGGGAGGAAGCAGUGGGGAAUAUUGGACAAUGGGCGCAAGCCUGAUCCAGCCAUGCCGCGUGAGUGAUGAAGGCCCUAGGGUUGUAAAGCUCUUUCACCGGUGAAGAUAAUGACGGUAACCGGAGAAGAAGCCCCGGCUAACUUCGUGCCAGCCGCCGCCGUAAAAC